ACCUGCGGAAGGAUCAUUACAAUUCAGUAGCUUGCUACUGUCAGAAGGCGCGAUAGGCCCGUAUAGUUUAACUACUGAUGAGCGGCAGCCCUUUUGUUUGUACCCUUGUCUUUUGCGCACUCAUGUUUCCUCGGCGGGUCUGCCCGCCGAUUGGACAAAACUAUAACCUUUUUUAUUUUCAAUCAGCGUCUGAAAACAAUUAAUAAUUACAACUUUCAACAACGGAUCUCUUGGUUCUGGCAUCGAUGAAGAACGCAGCGAAAUGCGAUAAGUAGUGUGAAUUGCAGAAUUCAGUGAAUCAUCGAAUCUUUGAACGCACAUUGCGCCCCUUGGUAUUCCAUGGGGCAUGCCUGUUCGAGCGUCAUUUGUACCCUCAAGCUCUGCUUGGUGUUGGGUGUUUGUCCUCUCCUCUGCGAUUGGACUCGCCUUAAAGCAAUUGGCAGCCAGUGUUUUGGUAUUGAAGCGCAGCACAUUUUGCGAUUCUGGCCUAAAUACUUGCGUCCACAAGCCUUUUUAUAACGCUUGACCUCGGAUCAGGUAGGGAUACCCGCUGAACUUAAGCAUAUCAAUAAGCGGAGGAAAAGAAACCAACAGG
rnacentral:rRNA from 1 species